rnacentral:pre_miRNA from 1 species
AUGUGUGUGGUGAUUGGGCAGUGUAUUGUUAGUUAGCUGUUUUUCUUAUUUUCCAGCAACUGCAUACACUUCCACAUUUCCACAUGUUCU